rnacentral:tRNA from 1 species
GGCCGGUUAGCUCAGUUGGUUAGAGCGUCGUGCUAAUAACGCGAAUGUCGUGGGUUCGAACCCCAUACUGACCA